UAUACCUUAUACCUGGUACAUAUUUUUAAGCUGGACACCGGUAACUUUUUGACCUGGACACCGGCCAGCCCACCGAUACAAAACACAAGCCAGUGUAGCAGCCCAUCUAGGUAAAUGCCCACUCGUGAUCGAUCCAUUACUCGAUCCCUGUAUGCGCGCCUGUUGAAAAAACGCUAUCGAUCUAACUAAUUGAUCCCAAUACGCCUGUACGUGCGCCUAUUCUAUUGCUCGUCCGCUCGGCUUCUCCACCCAUCGCCCUUCUCCGCCGCCGCGCUGCCAGUCGCCGGCGCGGCCAGUCGCUGGUCCGUCUGGUUGUCCAUUGAAAUGUUUAAGCAUCGCUAGCCGGCCGCCUCAAUCCUCGCCCACCGAGUGAUUGUUGGAAAUUUGAGGGUUUUAAAAUAUGAAGGUAUUAUAAUUGAGAACAAUUCACUGCGAUUCACAUCUAACAGGGGAGGAUUAUUUCAGCGAGAACGACAAAGCACAAUAUCGACCUAGUUGGUACUUCUGAUGAUGAAAUCAUAAAUUGGAACAUGAAGAACGGCGACGCCUUCAUUCAGAACACACGCUAGGGGAGCCCGUAAUAUGGUAUUCUUGAGGAGAUGAAAUCAGAUGAGAUGUAUGUCGUGUAGGGUUGUUGGAGGAGUGCAAGGAAACAAAAUUAUGGGCAGUUUGAUGCUCCAAUAGCUUGCUAUUAUCCUGUAUCAACUAUAGCAGCAGCGAAGUUGCUUGCUAUGUAUCAAGGCAGAGUAGAAUUUGAGCCUUGAGUAUUGUUUGUGUGUGUAUGCUACAUUCUAUUUCCCCACUGGAGCAUGUUCCGGUGGAGAUAUUAUAUUUCCUGU